rnacentral:pre_miRNA from 1 species
AACCAGUGCAGACUGGCACGCCCCAGGGAUCUCUGGGCGAGUAUCUCUCUGAGCGCCUCACUCUCAAGCACGACUAGGAGG